AUACGUAGGGGGCGAGCGUUGUCCGGAAUGAUUGGGCGUAAAGGGCGCGUAGGCGGCCCGGUAAGUCUGGAGUGAAAGUCCUGUUUUUAAGAUGGGAAUUGCUUUGGAUACUGUCGGGCUUGAGUGCAGGAGAGGUAAGUGGAAUUACCAGUGUAGCGGUGAAAUGCGUAGAGAUUGGGGGGAACACCAGUGGCGAAGGCGACUUACUGGACUGUAACUGACGCUGAGGCGCGAAAGUGUGGGGAGCAAACAGGAUUAGAUACCCUGGUAGUCCACACUGUAAACGAUGAAUGCUAGGUGUAGGGGGUAUCGACCCCUUCUGUGCCGCAGUCAACACAAUAAGCAUUCCGCCUGGGGAGUACGGCCGCAAGGUUGAAACUCAAAUGAAUUGACGGGG
rnacentral:rRNA from 1 species